rnacentral:rRNA from 1 species
GCCUUGAAUAAAGGGAAUUAUUAUUUUAAAUUUGUUGGUGUCUUUAUUUUUAAAAAUUAAAGAAAAAUCUUUAUGUUUUAUUAUUUUAAAAGAAAAAAUUUUUAUUUUAUUAUAGAUAAUUAGUAUUGUGAAAGAAAUUUUUUUAAUGAAAAAAAGAAGAAUUAAAUUUUUGUACCUUGUGUAUCAGGGUUUAUUAAAAAAAAUGUUUUUAGUUUAAUAUUUCUCGAAUUAAUAAGAUUUAUAAACUUAUAAUUUUUAAUGUAGAAAAAUUAUUAUAAAUAAGUUUAUGGGGGUGAAAUGCUAGUCGUUUAUUAAUAUAUCUAGUUUUAAAGGAAAUAAAUUUAAUUUAUAAUUUUAAUAAAUAAUUUUUUAGGGGAUAAUAGUUAUUUUUAAAGUUAAAUAGUUUAGGGGUUGAGCUUUAAAUUAAAAAAAGUACAAAAAAUUUAAAAUUUAAAAAUAAAUUUAUAGAAUUAGAAGUUUUUAUAUUAGUGUUUAAUAACUAAUUUAUUUAAAAUAAUUUUUUAUAUUUAAAGUUUAUUUUACUUAUUUUACUUUAAUAUAUAUUUAAAUCAUAAAAAUGGGGAAAUAAUGAUAAAAUUAGUAGGGUAAUUUUGGUAAAAAAUUUAAUUAGCAUUUAGAGAUUAGGUUAAGGAACUCGGCAAAUUAUUUUUCACCUGUUUAUUAAAAACAUGUCUUUCAGGAAAUUUUUAAUAAUUGAAAGUCGGGCCUGCCCAGUGAUGUAUUAUAUUUAACGGCCGCGGUAUUUUGACUGUGCUAAGGUAGCAUAAUCAUUAGUUUUUUAAUUGAAAGCUGGAAUGAAAGGUUUGAUGAAAAAAUAGCUGUCUCAAUCUAAGAAUUUUGAAUUUUAUUUUUAAGUUAAAAAGCUUAAAUUUUUAUAAAAGACGAGAAGACCCCAUAGAGUUUAAUAUUUAUUUUUAAAAAUAAAAUAUGGAAAUAUAAAUUUAUUUUAGUAAAAAAGUAUUUGAUUGGGGUGAUUGAAAAAUUUAAUUAACUUUUUUUAUUUUUAAUUUCAUAAAUAAGUGAAAUAAAAUGAUCCUUUUUUUAAGAUUAAAAGAAAAAUUACCUUGGGGAUAACAGCGUAAUUUUUUCUUAGAGUUCCAAUCGAAGAAAAAGUUUGCGACCUCGAUGUUGGAUUAAAAUAAAUUUUUGGUGUAGAAGCUAAAAUAUUAGGUCUGUUCGACCUUUAAAAUUUUACAUGAUCUGAGUUUAGACCGGCGUGAGCCAGGUCGGUUUCUAUCUUUAUAAAAUAAAAAAUAUUUUAGUACGAAAGGACCAGAUAUUUCUUUUUUAAAGUAAAAUAUUUUUGAAUACCAUUAAAAUUUUAAAAAAAAUUAAUUAUCUGUUUAUUAUUGUUUGUGCUAGUUACAUUGGCAG